rnacentral:tRNA from 1 species
UGGCUCAGUGGUAGAGCGCUUGCCUCGCAAGCAUGAGGCCCUGGGUUCAAUUUCUCAG